UGGGGAAUAUUGCACAAUGGGCGCAAGCCUGAUGCAGCAACGCCGCGUGAGGGACGACGGCCUUCGGGUUGUAAACCUCUUUUAGUAGGGAAGAAGCGAAAGUGACGGUACCUGCAGAAAAAGCACCGGCUAACUACGUGCCAGCAGCCGCGGUAAUACGUAGGGUGCGAGCGUUGUCCGGAAUUAUUGGGCGUAAAGAGCUCGUAGGCGGUCUGUCGCGUCUGCUGUGAAAACCCGAGGCUCAACCUCGGGCCUGCAGUGGGUACGGGCAGACUAGAGUGCGGUAGGGGAGAAUGGNAUUCCUGGUGUAGCGGUGGAAAUGCGCAGAUAUCAGGAGGAACACCGAUGGCGAAGGCAGUUCUCUGGGCCGUAACUGACGCUGAGGAGCGAAAGCGUGGGGAGCGAACAGGAUUAGAUACCCUGGUAGUCCACGCCGUAAACGUUGGGCGCUAGAUGUGGGGACCAUUCCACGGUUUCCGUGUCGCAGCUAACGCAUUAAGCGCCCCGCCUGGGGGAGUACGGCCGC
rnacentral:rRNA from 1 species